GAUGAACGCUGGCGGCGUGCCUAAUACAUGCAAGUCGAGCGAACAGACGAUGUGCUUGCUCCUCUGACGUUAGCGUCGGAAGGGUGAGUAACAUGUGGAUAACCUAGCUAUAAGACUGGGAUAACUUCGUGAAACCGGAGCUAAUUCCGGAUAAUAUAUUGAACCGCAUGGUUCAAUAGUGAAAGACGGUUUUGCUGUCACUUAUAGAUGGAUCCGCGCCGGAUUAGCUAGUUGGUAAGGUAACGGCUUACCAAGGCAACGAUGCGUAGCCGACCUGAGAGGGUGAUCGGCCACACUGGAACUGAGACACGGUCCAGACUCCUACGGGAGGCAGCAGUAGGGAAUCUUGGGCAAUGGGCGAAAGCCUGACGGAGCAACGCCGCGUGAGUGAAGAAGGUCUUCGGGCCGUAAAACUCUGUUAUUAGGGAAGAACGAAUUUGUAAGUAACUAUGCACGUCUUGACGGUACCUGAACAGAAAGCCACGGCUAACUACGUG
rnacentral:rRNA from 1 species